GAGAAGAGAAGCGAUGCGGAACAAACAAGUAUGCCUACUGACACUGAGUGCACUGACUGCAGGAUAUGCAAUAUAAUUUUGAAAAAUUAAACUACAUGCUCGAGGAAGGAUUCAACAUUUCCGGAGAACCUAGCAUUUUCCCUCAGAAGACUAAAAUUAGAUCCUGUUUUAAUGACUGUCCCUGCAACACUGACUUCUAUGUAAUGAGAAUGUUUCCAUGUUCCUGCUGACAGACCACCUACUAUUCUUUGCUGAUGUGGGGCUGAUAAUUCUGACAAUCAAUAAUAAUAAUUGUAUAAACAUUAACAUGUAUUGAGUGCGUGCUUUGUGCCAGGCACUGCACAAAGUGCUUUAUAAUGAUUAUUUCAUUUGAUCUUUGUAAUAACCCCAUGAGUUAAGAAUACAAAUGCUCUGGCAUAUCAGAAUUGUUCACAUUUGAUGGUUGACUCAAUAUCGACUUUUAAAAACUGUCUAGAAACCUCCCACGACACUUACUGCACUGAUGGUUCUCCAUACUCCUCCAAUGACAC
rnacentral:lncRNA from 10 species